CAGUCGCCGCGGGAAUACGGAGGGGGCUAGCGUUGUUCGGAAUUACUGGGCGUAAAGCGCACGUAGGCGGCUUGGUAAGUUAGAGGUGAAAGCCCGGAGCUCAACUCCGGAAUUGCCUUUAAGACUGCCGAGCUAGUAGGUGAGAGAGGUAAGUGGAAUUCCGAGUGUAGAGGUGAAAUUCGUAGAUAUUCGGAAGAACACCAGUGGCGAAGGCGGCUUACUGGCUCAUUCUAGACGCUGAGGUGCGAAAGCGUGGGGAGCAAACAGGAUUAGAUACCCCUGUAGUCCCUGUCUCUUAUAC
rnacentral:rRNA from 1 species